CCCCUUUAUCCAUCUUCUAGUCCCAGAGUAGCCAACAUUCUCUCUGAUGUUUAUUCCGGUCUCCCUUCAGUGAUCCGAAUGGAAGGGCCUCUUGUGAAGGAAAAUUUGCAUGAAAUAAACUGGGGAGGAUGAAAACGUUAUGUUCCCCAAGCUGUUUUCUUCUCUCUCCCUCCACUCGUCCAGUCUGCCUCUAGCUGCUCUGUGAUACCUUCAUCGCCAUUCUGGGAGGGAAACUGAGGGCAUUUCUACUAUCUUACCUCAAAGGAGUGAUAAUUGUAAUAAAUGGCCAGUAUUCUUCAAAAGUUGCAGGAACUCUCUUCUUGCCUUGGUCUUCCAGUCUCUACAUCUUUGCCUACAUCUUUUCCCUACAGCCUAACUGGGCAGGAGUGAGAGUGACCAUAGAGCCAAAGAGCUGUUAGUCAAUCUCUCAGAGGGGAGAGCAGGUGAGCUCUGCAUGGUAUCUUGGAUACCACCCCAAUAAUUAGACUCUUGGCCUUUGUAACAUCCUCCUUCUUUUCAAUCCCAGAAAACCACAUUGUGUAUAAAAUAUCCCCCCAUCAACCCAUGAAACGAAAAACAAAAUAAAAUGUCCCACAACUAUAAUUUUUUUUUUGCA
rnacentral:lncRNA from 1 species